ACCCAGCUGACGAAUCCUAAAUAGAACGAAAUGUGCGUUCUGGAU
rnacentral:hammerhead_ribozyme from 1 species